UAUCAAUGAUGAAAACUUUGUCCAGUUCUGCUGUUGACUUGGAAGUUAUGAUAAAGUAUAUCUGAGAA
ensembl:snoRNA